rnacentral:tRNA from 1 species
GCCUGGCUGGCUCAGUCAGUAGAGCAUUGGACUCUUGAUCUCAGGGUUGUGAGUUCAAGCCCCACACUGGGUG